GAGGGCAAAAUGCAAAAUGGCUGCAGCGGCGUCAACGAGGCUGCCGCGAGAGCGGAGAUGCUCCCUUCAGCAGUGCACCAUACAAGGUGCAGGGGGGAAAGAGGUGAUGGAUGACAUUGUUUUCCGAAGUGACACUGUCCUAUCUGAUGUCCACCUACACACCCCAAGCAAAAGGCAUUUAAUGGUCAGGCUGAAUGCUGUUGGACAGCCAGUGUUUCUCUCACAGUUCAAAUUCCUUUUGGACAAAAGCAAUCAGAAGACUGAGAGGGAAGUGAGUGGCUUUGAAAAAGAAAACCUUAAACACCGGGACGAAUGUGGAGAGGGAUUAGAUGUGGAGGAUCCUGCUGGUGACCACGUUACUCUGAAAACCACUAACAAGGAAGAGAACUCUUUGAAAGGAAUUGAAGCUUUGUUAGACGAAGAUGGGGAUUUGGAGGUUGUCCGGAAGCCUCCGUUACUUGAUGCAGAAGCUGAAGACCUUUCAAGGGACAAAGUGUGCCCCAUCAUUUUGAUGAAAGGUGGAGAAGUCUUGGAAGAACAAGAGCAAGAAAACAAUUGCUAUGAUAUUAUUAAAAUAGAGCACGCCAUGGCAACCCCUUUAGAAGAUGUUGGCAAACAGGUCUGGCGAGGAGCCUUCUUACUUGCAGACUACAUCCUCUCCAAGCAAGAUUUGUUUAAGGACUGCACAGUGCUGGAGCUUGGGGGCGGCACCGGGAUUGUCAGUAUCAUCAUGGCAAAGGCAGCCAAGGCCGUCUAUUGCACAGAUAUUGGUGAAGAUCUCCUGGAAAUGUGUGAACGAAAUAUUGCAUUAAACAAGCACCUUGCUGAGCCAGCAGGAACUAAGAUUAAGGUCAGAGUGCUGGACUGGCUUAAAGAUGAGUUCUGUAUUGAUCCUGAUCAUUCCUACAGCUGGUCUGAAGAAGAGAUUGCAGAGCUUCACGAUUUCACCACUGUGAUCCUAGCUGCUGAUGUAUUUUAUGACGAUGAUCUAACAGAUGCCUUUUUCAAAACGCUGUAUCGAAUCACUGGCAACUUGAAAAACCCCUCCACCAUCUACUUGUCAAUAGAAAAGAGGCUCAACUUCACCUUAAGACACAUGGAUGUUGUAUGUGAAGCAUACAGUUACUUUCGAAGCACCUUGAAUGAUCUAGAAAAUAUCAGAGAUGGCAAAAUAAGAUAUACUGUUCAGCCUGUCCAACUCUCCUUUCCUCAGCAUAUUAUUUAUGAGCGGGUUGAGCAGUUGGAGUUAUGGAAGAUUACAGCUGACAUGACCACUGAAAGAAGCACACACACAACUCUCCCUGAGAGGUUGAAAACCGGACAUGGGGACUUCAGUACAGAAUAAUUUCCCUGUAGGGUUCUGUCUGAAUAAUUAUCUGAAUGGAGCCAGGACCCAAACAGAUCCUGGCGUGGAGAAGUCCAAGAAGUUCCAAUCCCUAGGUACUGGUCAACCUGCUCAUCUCAUUUCUGAGAAUUCGCUGCUCAUUACCUACCUUUGGAGACACUCGGCGUACUGAUUUCUAUGUCCAGGAACAAAUUCCUGUGCAGUGAAGCAGCCCUCCCUGGGCAGGCGCACCCCAGGGACUCCUGCUUGGAAGUUCACAGGAAUCCUACUUGGAAGAAAUGGGGCUGUAAGUGAGCCAGUAAACUCUGUGGGGCAUCAAGAGGCUCCAUCUACCUUAGAGCCUGCCAGCAGAGUUGAAGACGAAAAACUGGUGAAGCGGGUUGGGAAAUCAGGAACUGGAAUGAACAAAGUUGGACUUUUAAUGGUAGUGGAGCAAAAACCAGGUUCCAAUUCAAAUUGAGUCAUGAAACGUGGGCCAGUCACUCUCUCUCAGACUAUCCUACCUCACAGGGUGGUUGUGAAGACAGUGUUGGGUGUAUGUGUGAGAGAGAACAAUGUACGAUGCCUUGAACUCCUUUUAGCAAAGAACAAUAUACCGGUAAUGUAUAUAGUACAAAUGCAAGCAAUGGACAAGGUUUGGUCUAUUGUUGGCUCCUAGCCACAGUGUUUAUGCUCUGCCUCUCUGGUCAGAAGCAGUAAUGCUUCUGAAUGCCAGUUGCUGGAAACCACAGGAGAAGAGAGUGCCCUUGUUCUUGGAUUCUGCUUGAAGGUUUCCUAUAGGCAUUCUGGUUGGCCACUGUGAACAGGAUGCUAGGCGAGAUGGGUCAUUGGCCUGAUCCACCAGGCUGCUCUUAUGUUAAUAACCAUAGCAACAGCCAAUGAGCAAUCCCUAAGGACAAAUAAAAUUACGGUACUCUGUAUGAAGAUAGGUGCAUCUUCAUACUGUCACCAUAUAUUUGCUAGGCCAGCCUCCUGGAAGCCCAAAACAGCACCCCUGGCCUAGGAGGAAGAGAGAAACGACUGACAUCCAAUAUUAUGCAGCACAAUCAUGGAAUAUGCAAAACCUGGUUGCAUGCUUCAUUCUGACUAAAGAAUGACACAAGUCAAUGUGAGGAGCAUAUCAAGGCAAUGUGCAUUUCAAACCCUUCUGAAAACUCGUUGUUAGCCAACAGAAGGAGGACAGCUCUGGACUCGUCACAAUCUUAGGUAUUUAUUUAUUUCAGGUGUUUAUAUGCUGCUUAAUAUUCCGAAUUUCGAAGCAGUGUACAUAAAAUGGGGUUGUUGUUGUUGUUUUAAGUAAAAAGAAUAAGAACUAUUAAUAUUCACUUCUUGUGGAAGCAGAAAACUACCUGAAAAUACCUGCUGUCAAAUCAAGCGCCUGAAGUUCAGCAGGGAGGGGUCUUGUCUAACCUCAUCUGGGAGGGAGUUGCACAGGAUUGGCCCCAGAACGCCGAAUGCAUGGCUUCUGGUCAUUACAGGGCAAGCAUCCGAACCAUGGGGGCUACAGAGACACUGAAGUUAUCUGUGAUCAGACAGAGAUAUAAGGGAUCGGGUGGUUCUUAAGGUAUUGGGGACCCAAGUUGUUAAGGCCUUGUAAAUUAAUAAAAUUGAGAUAUUAAUUGCUUUUCCUAGCAAUUCAAAGCAACUUCCAAAAUGACCCAAAAACAAAUAAACCCACAUACAUGCCUUAAAACCGGGGGGCGGGGGAGCAGUAU